rnacentral:rRNA from 1 species
GACGAACGCUGGCGGCGUGCUUAACGCAUGCAAGUCGAACGAUGAAGCUGGAGCUUGCUCCGGUGGAUUAGUGGCGAACGGGUGAGUAACACGUGAGCAAUCUGCCCUUGACUCUGGGAUAACUGCGGGAAACUGUAGCUAAUACCGGAUACGAGGCUCGAAGGCAUCUUCGGGUCUGGAAAUAAUUUCGGUCAAGGAUGAGCUCGCGGCCUAUCAGCUUGUUGGUGAGGUAAUGGCUCACCAAGGCGACGACGGGUAGCCGGCCUGAGAGGGUGACCGGCCACACUGGGACUGAGACACGGCCCAGACUCCUACGGGAGGCAGCAGUGGGGAAUAUUGCACAAUGGGCGAAAGCCUGAUGCAGCAACGCCGCGUGAGGGAUGAAGGCCUUCGGGUUGUAAACCUCUUUUAGCAGGGAAGAAGCGAAAGUGACGGUACCUGCAGAAAAAGCACCGGCUAACUACGUGCCAGCCGCCGCGGUAA